rnacentral:tRNA from 1 species
GGUUGGUUGACUGAGUGGUUUAAAGUGUAAUAUUUGAGCUAUUAUUAAUUGAUAAAAUUACGUAGGUUCGAAUCCUACACCAUCCG